rnacentral:tRNA from 1 species
GUCGAGAUGGCGGAAUGGCAGACGCGCUAGAUUCAGGUUCUAGUGUUCAAAAAAGAACAUGAGGGUUCAAGUCCCUUUCUCGACACCA